rnacentral:rRNA from 1 species
UUAAGGCGGCCAGAGCGGUGGGGCAACACCCGUACCCAUUCCGAACACGGAAGUUAAGCCCACCUGCGUAUCGGCAAGUACUGGCGUGGGAGACCCGCUGGGACCCCCGAUUCGCCGCCUCCA